GUUCAUCAUCUGCAAGAUGUAAAAAUAUACCCCUAAACAUGGCUGUCUUGUUAUCAAGGUGAUGUGUCUUUUCCCCAAACACAAACUUCCGCAGUGGUGAAGUGACCUGAAGCAGCUGAUGAUGAAGUGUGAUUUUAUCCACUGACUGCAACAAUCCAGACACGGAGAGAUGACGACAUCACCUAAAGGUUCUGCGUAGCUACAAUCUGCCGGGUUUGAACCCAGAAGAAGCAGCUUUGUGUCCAGAUUCAAGUUUGUACUCACUGGUUUGGUUUAGAGCCAAAAGAUCAUGGAUUAAAAACAAAACACAACGGAUGAGUCUGAUUAUUGCUGUAACGCACAGGGGUCGAAGGAUGAAUCAGUGUCGAUGUUAAUGCUAAUUUUAUUCAUGUAGCAAAUGUCAUUGCAUGUAAACUCAGUGUACUUACUAAAAAAGCUGAAAACAUAAAAACUUUGUGGCUCUAUAAUGUAUUAAUUCAAUAAAAACAACAAAACAAAGAUAUAAAGUAAACUAACACACAGAGUUAUUAACUGUGAUUCUGAAAACCAGUGACUAAAAUAAAAAUAAAUAAAAUUACAUCACAAAAAAUAAAAUGAAUUAAGUCCCGACAGGAUGUGAGUCUCCGUCUCAACAACCUUACACAGAAUUUUUGCACUUUCUACUUUUUGAAUGCAUUACAUCAGGUUUUGACUCCCAGGAGAAAGUAAUUUGUUACUCGUUAAAUUACUGCAAAAGUAAUGUGAUUACAGGCAGCUGCCACCCCUCCAGCCUCCUAAUGCAGACUGUUAGGUCUCUGAAACUGGAACAAUGGAGGACAUCAGAGGCCACAGCCUCUGCCAGUGUGCAUUACAGGUGGACAUGUAAAACAGGCCGAGGUUGGUUUAAUUAGCCUCAGUUGGCUCCAGCAGGUCCACAGAUCCCUGCCAUGUCUACCAGCAGCUAGUUUUUCCUCCUGUUCGUUUAAAAGACACUGUUUUGGUUUAUGCCAAAUCCAAACUUUUUAAAAAAUAAAACAAGUGGAGGUGAAAUUGCUCCUUUGGCAGCGCUCCGCUUGGAUUUGUCGGAUCAUUUGUCUGAGUAUCUCUUACACCUCUGGAAAAUGUGAAGGGGCCGCAGAUAGGUGUUAAACUAUCCACCAGACAAAUGGGUUUGGGACUCAGAUCCACACUGAGGUCGACCCGGAGAUGGUGGGG
ensembl:lncRNA